rnacentral:sRNA from 1 species
AGUAGCAGAGGCAGCUUCUGAGAGCCUGGGCAGGCAGCAGCUGGCUGACCAAGUCCACUGGAAGAGAAGGCUUGUGCCAGCCGGGAGAAGGAAGCCGGGGACAGGAUGAAAGCAACAACACCUUUGCAGACAGUCGACCGGCCGAAGGACUGGUACAAGACGAUGUUUAAGCAAAUUCACAUGGUGCACAAGCCGGAUGAUGACACAGACAUGUAUAAUACUCCUUAUACAUACAAUGCAGGUCUGUACAACCCACCCUACAGUGCUCAGUCACACCCUGCUGCAAAGACCCAAACCUACAGACCUCUUUCCAAAAGCCACUCCGACAACAGCACCAAUGCCUUUAAGGAUGCGUCCUCCCCAGUGCCUCCCCUACAUGUUCCACCUCCAGUCCCACCGCUUCGACCAAGAGAUCGGUCUUCAACAGAAAAGCAUGACUGGGACCCUCCAGACAGAAAAGUGGACACAAGAAAAUUUCGGUCUGAGCCAAGGAGUAUUUUUGAAUAUGAACCUGGCAAGUCAUCAAUUCUGCAGCAUGAAAGACCAGUUACCAAGCCUCAAGCUUCCUGAUUGAUUGUCAUUCUAAUGGAUCAAGAUUAUAUUUCACUUUGCAGGAUUUUUUCUAAUUAUUUAAUUAUAUGCAAACAAAAAUAUCUAUACACUUAAGAAGAACCACUUGCCUCCUCGAAGCGCAGGUUCACACAUAGGUCUUCCCUUGGCCUUCUUUGGUUUUGAUUCCCCAGUACUCCCUUGCGUGUCCUUUGCUUCCCCUCAGAAAUC